rnacentral:lncRNA from 9 species
CCUGGGAGAGGUUUUCAGUUGAAGCUGGGGUGUAUCCGAUUCAGCCCUGAGGCAGAAAAACUGGACAAAGCAGUUUUUUUCCCCCUUCCCCUUUAUAGAGUGUGUGAUUUGUGCAACAGCUUUGGCUUGGCAAAUAGGGAAGUGUCAGCGCUAAAUCAGCUUUACUCUAAGGGCACGGUACGCCUGUGUUUCUCAACCGAGUGAUACCCAAAUCCAGGACCAUUUUACUUCAAGUGGAAUACACACACAGAGCAAACAUUCUCAAGGUGACUUAAAGACAACAGUGAGGAUAUCCAUAUUCUGGAGGUUGGAUCUCUGGGAAAGCUGGUCACUGGCUUCUGCCUGGCAUGAAGGGUACAGAAGGUAGGAUUUCCUUCUUUAAGGUGUUUGGUAUAUGAAACUGCGUGUUUCUGGCCUGUGCUACCUUGUCCCAGUUUAAAGCCCACUGUACUAGCUUGACAUCUGGCUGAGGCAUGAUCCCUUUCUUUUCAUUUCAUUCAGCCUUGAUCUCCCAAUUGGCCUUUGACUGCUGACUUUCGUACUCUUUUUGGUUCCAGACUGUCUGCUUGGCCUGACCUUGUGCUUAAUGCUUGACCUCUCCAUGACUCCUAGGAACCAUACCCUGAACCUAGAUUGACUGCUGUCCACAGCUCAGUCAGAAAAUGGAAGCCUUUAGAAUAAAUGAAUUAUCAAAGAGAGGAGAAAUACAUAAGUACAGGUCUCUGGGUCAAACCUUGUGAAAUGCUCAAAGUAAAGGAAAGGAAGUAGAGAAUAAAAAGGGAAUAAAAGACACAGAAAAGGUGGAAGAGCAUAAAGGGGAAUAAAUAUAUUCAUGAAGAAAUUAGUCAAAUGAAUGAAAUUCUACAGAAAUAUCAUACAGAAUAAAGUGUGCAUCAAGUUCAUUGGAUUGUGCAAACAGGAA